rnacentral:rRNA from 1 species
GACGAACGCUGGCGGCGUGCUUAACACAUGCAAGUCGAACGGAGUGGCGAACGGGUGAGUAACACGUGGGUGACCUGCCCUGCACUUCGGGAUAAGCCUGGGAAACUGGGUCUAAUACCGGAUAGUGUGGGAUGGGGCCGCGGCCUAUCAGCUUGUUGGUGUGGUAAUGGCCUACCAAGGAGGCGACGGGUAGCCGGCCUGGGAGGGUGGACGGCCAAAUUGGUACUGAGGCACGGCGCAGAAUGCUACGGGAGGCAGCAGUGGUGAAUAUUGCACAAUGUGGGGAAGCCUGAUGCAGCGACGCCGCGUGGGGGAUGACGGCCUUCGUGUUGUAAACUCCUUUCAUCAUCGACGCGGUAGAUGGAGAAGAAGCACCGGCUAACUACGUGCCAGCAGCCGCGGUAAUUC